UGUCUCGAAGACGGCGCUAGGUCUACCCAGGAAUUUCAGCCACAGAUAAAGGGAUUUUUCAAAUAGGCAUGACAGAAUCAAGACAACAGUUUUGGUUCUCCUAGAUCAGUGCUUCUAAUGCUACGAUACUGAUGUCUGAGAGCAAGUUAAAAAGCUUCUGCUCAGCAGUUUGACCCAAAGCUGACAGAUAUGGACUUCAGCCAUACUGUCAAAAAGUGGCUUUGUUACACAACAGAGCAGGAGGAAGGCAUCAAGGAACCAAAGAGACACCAAUCAGUCAAACUUGGGUUACCCCAACUUGCACUCUUUCCCUGGUUCUUUCAGUACAAGGCUGAACCUCAUGGACGUACUUCUUUCAUGGACGAUAGCAUGUUGUUCAAAAAGGAGUCAAAUAUGU